UACGUAGGGGGCAAGCGUUGUCCGGAAUUAUUGGGCGUAAAGCGCGCGCAGGCGGUUCUUUAAGUCUGAUGUGAAAGCCCACGGCUCAACCGUGGAGGGUCAUUGGAAACUGGAGGACUUGAGUGCAGGAGAGGAAAGUGGAAUUCCACGUGUAGCGGUGAAAUGCGUAGAGAUGUGGAGGAACACCAGUGGCGAAGGCGACUUUCUGGCCUGCAACUGACGCUGAGGCGCGAAAGCGUGGGGAGCAAACAGGAUUAGAUACCCUGGUAGUCCACGCCGUAAACGAUGAGUGCUAGGUGUUAGGGGUGACCAAACCCUUAGUGCCGCAGUUAACACAUUAAGCACUCCGCCUGGGGAGUACGACCGCAAGGUUGAA
rnacentral:rRNA from 1 species